rnacentral:rRNA from 1 species
AUUGAACGCCGGCGGCAGGCUUAACACAUGCAAGUCGAGCGGGGAAGAGUAGCUUGCUACUGGACCUAGCGGCGGACGGGUGAGUAAUGCUUAGGAAUCUGCCUAUUAGUGGGGGACAACAUCGCGAAAGGGAUGCUAAUACCGCAUACGUCCUACGGGAGAAAGCAGGGGACCUUCGGGCCUUGCGCUAAUAGAUGAGCCUAAGUCGGAUUAGCUAGUUGGUGGGGUAAAGGCCUACCAAGGCGACGAUCUGUAGCGGGUCUGAGAGGAUGAUCCGCCACACUGGGACUGAGACACGGCCCAGACUCCUACGGGAGGCAGCAGUGGGGAAUAUUGGACAAUGGGGGGAACCCUGAUCCAGCCAUGCCGCGUGUGUGAAGAAGGCCUUUUGGUUGUAAAGCACUUUAAGCGAGGAGGAGGCUACCGAGAUUAAUACUCUUGGAUAGUGGACGUUACUCGCAGAAUAAGCACCGGCUAACUCUGUGCCAGCAGCCGCGGUAACAC